rnacentral:rRNA from 1 species
UCCAGACUCCUACGGGAGGCAGCAGUGGGGGAUAUUGCACAAUGGGGGGAACCCUGAUGCAGCGACGCCGCGUGGGUGAAGGAGCGUUUCGGCGCGUAAAGCCCUAUCGGCAGGGAAGAAGGAGGACGGUACCUGACUAAGAAGCCCCGGCUAACUACGUGCCAGCAGCCGCGGUAAUACGUAGGGGGCAAGCGUUAUCCGGAUUUACUGGGUGUAAAGGGGGCGCAGACGGCAGCGCAAGCCAGGAGUGAAAGCCCGGGGCCCAACCCCGGGACUGCUCUUGGAACUGCGCGGCUGGAGUGCAGGAGGGGCAGGCGGAAUUCCUGGUGUAGCGGUGAAAUGCGUAGAUAUCAGGAGGAACACCGGUGGCGAAGGCGGCCUGCUGGACUGCAACUGACGUUGAGGCCCGAAAGCGUGGGGAGCAAACAGGAUUAGAUACCCUCGUAAA